UGCCGAUCCCUUACCCCUCUGAGCCUGCCCCUUACGUGCCGUGUGACAGUCACCCAGACCUCAACCCGGCCCGUGGCAAGUUAAUGUUUCAGACGAUUCCUGGAUGGAAGCCACGCUCCAGGAUCGCCCUCCCCCAUGAACUUGCUGGAUGCACGCAGGGCCAGGGCUGAAAGACGGUGGUCAUUACGAAGGGCUCUGACCUCUUCUCACCCUGUGGAUGUGUCCCUGGAGACAUUUCUCUCUCCAUUUCCUUAUUCCCAGACGGAGGCAACAGUUCCUGCCCACGUCCCAAGGAUGUUUAGAAGUCAUGGCUAACGGAAAUGACCGAGAAGCUCUUGGCAGAUGCCCAGUUCAGAAUCGCGUGCUGAAUGACGGCCUCCCUCACCCACCCUCUGUACCGCAUUACCUACGUGCCCUGCUCUCACCGCUCUGCUGACCGCCCUGGGGCGCGAAGCCCGUCUGUCCAGAGGUCCUGGGGUCCGCUAGAGAAGGUUCCCUUUGCGGGAACCACUGCGAUCCCCGCAUGGCCGAACUCGUAUUCUGGGUCGGAAACAACAGGUGAUAGAUGAGCUGCAAAAGGCUGAAAGGCUGCCAGCAUCCAGCCGCGGGCACCCAGGGCUUGGCGCCCCUUCCCCCAGAGGGGGUGGAAGUGAACCAAUUGACAUGGUGGGGUCAAGUUUGAGUGUGCCUCGGCGAAACCCCGGGACCUCCUUUCUUGAAAAACAACUGGGACAGGGUGACAGCUGUUCAAGGAUGCCAAAGAAAAGGGUCCCCCGGGGAAACCUCCCCAGGGAAGUCUCUGCCUGCAGGACGCUGUGAGUGACACAGAAGACAGUCGGCAGGAGUGGGCACAGCCCGGCCCGGGCGAACUCUCCGGGUGGCCAGCGAUCGGAAGCACCGUGCACAUGUAAAAUCUGGCGGUAACGAGGACCGUGGUGGCAGCGGUGACAUUGACUAUCACAGACGGUGGGGCCUAUCGAACUGUAGACCGUUCUGAAGCUGUGGCCCCUGUAAGGACUUGGCUGCAAAAUGGCUACCAUAUUGGAAUCAUCACAGCUCUUUUGGUCUUUAUUUAUUUAUUUUUAUUUAUUUGAGAGAGAGAGAGAGAGAGAGAGAGCAGGAGAGGGGCAGAGAGAAAGAGAGAGAAUCCCAAGCAGGCUCCGCACUCAGCAUAGACCCCCAACAUGAAGCUCAACCCCACGACGGUGAAAUCACCACCCAGAGGGACCACGUGACCCUCCCCAUUUGCACAUGGGCCGCCGCCUCUGAGGCAGGCUGGGAGAAUUCCUUGUGUGGAAGUCACCGGACUUCGAUCCCCAAGACCUGGAUUUGACUCUGGGAUCAACCACUUCCUAGCAGUGUGAACUGGGCCACAGCAGCUAACCUUUCUGAGACUCAAUGGUCCCAUCGAUAAACUGGAGCAAGCGAUGCCUCACCUCGGGGAGGUGAGGGGCCGUCAGAGGAAGCACGCAGCCCCAGGAGGUGAGAUAAAUCAGCAAAAUCCGAAUCUGGGUACAGGCGUGACCUCUUAGCUUCGGAGGCGAGAAGCCUCACGGUCACCUGGCGGGUGGGGGCGGCUGGAGGCCUCGGCCUCGGCCUCGGGAGCAGGCGUCGAGCCCUGGAAGUCAGCCUGCCCACCUCCCCCUGAGAGCUGGCAACAGGGCCGGAACAGGAUCUGCUCGUCCCCUGUGAUCCGGAGCAUUUGCCACCAGGUUGCAGUGGCCUCUUGGACAGUUUCGCAGGUGACAGAUCUUCCUCCAUGUCCUCCUGGGCCCAUCGCGCUCCCGGCCGCAGAGGGGACGCGCCCCUUUCGGGCCCCCAAGGCACCCCCCCCCACACCCAGUGGAAUCGAAGGCCCCCAAAAGGGCGCAAAGGGGAGUGCCCUGGGCACCAGGGAGAACGAGCCUCCUUGUAUUCUUUCUAGAUGAAUCUCCGGGCCUGCAGCGGCCCAGGGCGCAUCCCAGGCCUGCAGCAAACCUGUCCUGCUGCGGGGCUGUCUCGACACGCUGUUUGGAAAGUCAAGAUUUUCAAUGUAAACUUUGUUCUCCCUUUCCUUUCUUCAGGGAUCGAUUCGCAGAUGCGGCUUCGUGCCCCGCUUCCUCUCCACGGCUCCGGUGCCGAAAUCCGAGGUCACACGACAUCGCUGUCAGAACAAGUCCACGCCGCCGCCGUCCUAUCCGAGAGGCCCGCGCCGGGGCGGCCUUGGCUCCUGAGCCUGUCCCGGUGUAGGGUUCUCGGUGGCACUAUUUUUGGCAGAUUUUUUUUUUUUUUUUUUUUUAUCCUUGCUCUUUAUCACAAGCCUGUCGGGCAAAUGACAGAGGAAUUGCAAGCUUGAAUGGGCUUGUCUGACAGGCCAACUUUCAUCCCGGGUGCUGCUGCCUGACUUUGAAAAAGGAACUCUGGGCAGAAGAGAGUAAUUUCACACUGAUUCCUCGCCGUAAUUUGCUUUGGGGUUGAAAACGUCGCGUUUCAAUCAUCCCCGCUUCGCGCUGCAGGGGAGAAGACGGGCCACGCGUGCAGGUGACGCGUUUGCCGCGGGCCCGCGCCGAGACGACUGCCUGGCUCUGAGGCAACAGCCCUGAGACACACGGGCGGGCGCGCCAAGGAGCUCUCCGCCAGCCACAAACGAGUGCCUUCGGAGGAGCCCAUAAGAAAUGGGUUCUGGCAGAAAGAGAGAGCCGCCUAGGACGCGGAGCCUCAGAUCGGACACCUCCAUCAUUCAAGAAUCCAUUAGAACGUCUUUCUCCCCCAGGCCCACGUUCCGCGGAGGAGCUGGGUGGCUGCAGGCAAACCGCAAACGUAGGAGGGUCCGAGACAAGCGUGCUCAGCUCGGACAGGCGUGAGCUGGGAGGUACGGGAGGGAAGGGGAAAGUGGCGUCCAGGCCAAUGACAGCUGGCGAGGCUGUGCGUGAAGCAUCCGCCGGGGACAAGGACAGGGGCUCGUGGGGAGGUCAGGGGACGUGGUCGUUCCCGGGUCAGCAGCAGGAAGCGGUGACUUCUCCCGCGUCAUAAACCGUCCCGUCCUUCGCCACCUCUCGCCACGCUUACUCAAGAGGCCACGCUGCCUGACACCUGCUGAUUCUUCCUGGGAUGGCUUCGAAAUGGUUCACGUCCUUAAUCUUGCUCCUCAACUGGAUUGUUAAGUUCUCUGAGGUCAGGAACCCAUACCUAACCCUCUCUGCGUGCCCCGAAGCUCCUUCCUAGGGCUGAGCACAAACCAAGACUCAAUAACCGCCCGGAGUCUAUCGGAGACUUUCACGCACCGCUGACAAAGAUUCAGCGGUACUGGAGGGUUUGCUCCAGGAUCAACCAGCGUAUUUCUCAGCGAGCGGAUCCAAGCUUGUUCUCGGCGGGACAUCAGGCUAUUGACGGUCUAUCCAGCCAGACUUUUGGGCCUUCUUGGCCACGCCUCACAUGCUGUAGACUCCAGCUGUGUGGAACCGAAUGCUCUCGGCGCCUCUGUGCCUUUGCACAGGCUGAUCUCUUGGCCUGGCUGCCCUUCCCUCAUCCUUCCAUCCGUGGACUUGGCGUUUCGGCUCCAGGUCAACCCGCCCCUUCCCGCAGGGCGGCCAGCAUCCCUCGGGCAGAGCUGGUGAGGCCUCCGCCUGUGGGUCCGGAGUACUUUCCGGAGGCCUGACAGGACAGGUGGCCUGGUGGCCCUGCCAUCCGGUUGAUGCUGUCUGCUGGCCCGAUCUGCCCCCUUCGUCAUCUCUCAACUUUGGCUCUCGGCGCAGUGCCUGGAACCUGGUAAAGGUUUAUCGAACGAAUGUGUCUCCCACAUUUGGCCUAUCAUGGCGACGGCAGUCAGGGCCCAGCAGGUCACGUGGGGACACGGCAAAAGACGUGAGACCAAACAAACGCUUUGGAGGGAAGCAAGGCCCUGGGGCCCUCCCGAUAAGCUGGGGCACCUGGGACCAACCCCCAGCUGUGAGGUUGGGGGAAGUGACACUUGCUUUCCAGAGCCCCGGCCUCAUCUUGGGGCCUCACUCCACUUUGUGGGGUUUCCAAAACGUCAUGCAACCUUCUCAUGGCCUUUAGUGACACGGCCGGACGGGGCGAUUAUGCCCGGUCUCCAGCGAUGGGUGUGGGGUGUGACCGGGCGGCAGCAGUGUGUCGGGCGGAGAGGGUGGCGUUACCCCUGGAUGCGGGGGAGGUGGCGAAGAUCGUGGACUCCAGCCUGGCCUCACACCCAGCCCCCACCCCCGCCCCGCCGUGCGACGCGGUGGGAAGGCCUCAGCUUCCCCGCGCAUAAAGGGUGAAGCAACCCCCACGGGGUCGUUCAGAAAGUCGGGCAAACGGACGCGUGUGAGCAUCGAGGGGGAUGCCCGGCACGUGACGAUGGCUCCCGAAAAGCCAGCCCCCGUCAUUUGGAACCGGAAGAUGAGUGUCACAUCUGGCUUUCUCCACUUGCAGGUUGUGGGACCUGAGUGGGUCAAGGUGUCUUACCUCUCCGCUCACAUUCUCUGGUUCCUGAGAGGAGGGCGGGACUGCUGCCCUCACCGGCUGUCUUGAGACGCAAGGAGAUAAUGGGAGGGAAUGUGCUUUGCAAGCCACGCGUUUUCCUGGGGUAGCUGUGAGUUGCCUGUGCGAAGGCACGGAGAGGUGAGGAGACCUUGGAGAUCCUGCCACGUGAGAGCUACCCCUUAAUGGAGACAAUGACCGUCUAGUAACCAAACUUGUAAUUUCCGUAAAGCACAUGCUUUAACAGCCACCUGGGGUGGGGGGGAGGUCUAUUAGCGACCCGUAGGCAAAACUGUGACUCUCCCAAUGCGAAGUUCGAGUCUGAGGGUCCACUUGGCUGAGCCACGGUUCCCAGACAUGUAGUCAAACAUUAUUCUGGACGUGUCUGUGAGGGUGUAUCUGGAUGAAAUUAACAUUUAAAUCAUUGGACUCUGAUCCAAUGUCCUCUAUAAUGUGGGUGGGCCUCAUCUAAUCAGUUGAAGGCCAGAAUUGAACAAAAGACUGACCCCCCCCACCCCAACCCCACCCCCCACACACACCCAUCCCCAUGCAAGAGGUAAUUUUGCCAGCAGACUGUCUCUGGACUUGAACUGUGGCAUUGACUCUUCCCUGGGUCUCUAGCUGGCCAGCCUACUCAGCAGACUUUGGACUUGCCAGCCUCCAUAAUCACCAUAAUUGUGCUAAUUACCUAAAAUCUCUCUCUCUCUCUCUCUUACACACACACACACACACACACACACACACACACUGUUGGUUCUGUUUCUUUGAAGAACCCUAAUAUACCCAUAAACAUUUGGAGUCCUCAGAUAGCUUUAAACUAGAAACUCUAACAGUCCCAGUGAACACAGAUUUCCCAGGGAGGCUAGUUUCAAACACUAGCCAAUCCUAAGCGUGACUUUGUCCUGCCUCGCCUGUUCCCUCCCAUGGAAACCACACAUGCCCCCUCCUUCUGCUCCCUGACCGCCCCCGGUGCUUACCCAGGAGACCCUGCAUGGUGUCCCGUGCUCUCUCAAGGGAACCGUGACUAUAAUAAAAUCUUUAAAAUUUCUCAGUCUCUCUCUGUCUUCACCUGCAUCUGGUCUUUCCACACCUCACCCAAGGUCAUGUGAUAAAACAGACAGUGACUGCAGCCCAGCCCUAGGGGAACCGUGGGCCAGCCUCCAGGGAUGGGCAAGUAGGUUAUCUGGCCCCGUCACGUGACGCCCUGCUAGAUGCCACGGUACCACUCUACGUGAGAUCGAGGGCUGACAGAGAGGCCGUCCGCUUCUCAAGCGGCCUGGGCCAAAAGAAUCGUUCCUUGCAGAAAACGAUCAUCAUCCUCACAUAAACACGAUCUGGCCCUCCAGAGAGCCUGAGUGAGCCAUGUCCCCAAGUGAGAGCAAAUGUGCGUCCAGAGGAAGCGUAUUUACCUGCUCGCUCAGGACCCACAGCAGCCUCGGCGCCCUGUUCCCGUUCCUGUCUCUGUUCCUCAGGGCGUGUUCCUGAAGCAUCUGUGUCUGAGAGCUCAUUCACCUCACCUGCGGGGAGAGGAGGGCGGUGACCUCCCAGGAAAGAGUUAAAUCCCCCUGGGUGACUCAUAAAGUCACAGAAUCACACAAUUACAGAACCUGAGAAUUUCAGAGCCUGGAAGGGAGCUAACGGGUCAUCAGGGUCCAACACCCCUCGUUUUGAGAAGGAAACAAAUAAUCCCAGCUGAAACGAAGACUCCCCACUCACCUGCAGUCCCUAUUGUGGAGUCCCAAGCGAGGGCUAAUUUGACCGUGGAAUCGGAGAAC
rnacentral:lncRNA from 1 species